CUCCUUACUAAUCGCCUUCUUCCUGUAUUCCGGGGCGCGGUCACAUGACAGCCGGCUGGGAGAUCGGCUCACGUGAUGCCCGCAUCAGAACACGUGGAACCUGAGGACUCUGCAUGUAACUUGUCAUAGUUACUGGAGGAUCUUGAAACUGCACCUUUCCGAUUCAUGUCACAGAUUGCUGCCAAAGAAGGGGCAUCGGGAUAGUACCACUUUGCCACAUGGCAUAAACAUCAGAACUACUACACCCAGCAAAACCCUCAUCAACUACCACCCAGACCAUUCUGAAAUUACACCAUCUGAGGACUCCUAACUUCAAUGCUCAUUACAUACAGAAGUCUUUUUUUUUUUUUUUUAUGCUUUUGAGUCUGUCAAGAGUAUAGACUAUUUCAUUUCUA